rnacentral:rRNA from 1 species
GACGAACGCUGGCGGCGUGCCUAAUACAUGCAAGUCGAGCGGAUCUGUUCCUUCGGGGACAGGUUAGCGGCGGACGGGUGAGUAACACGUAGGCAACCUGCCUAUAAGACUGGGAUAACUUCGGGAAACCGGAGCUAAUACCGGAUAAUUCUUUUCCUCUCAUGAGGAAAAGCUGAAAGACGGUUUCGGCUGUCACUUAUAGAUGGGCCCGCGGCGCAUUAGCUAGUUGGUGAGGUAACGGCUCACCAAGGCGACGAUGCGUAGCCGACCUGAGAGGGUGAUCGGCCACACUGGGACUGAGACACGGCCCAGACUCCUACGGGAGGCAGCAGUAGGGAAUCUUCCGCAAUGGACGAAAGUCUGACGGAGCAACGCCGCGUGAGUGAUGAAGGUUUUCGGAUCGUAAAACUCUGUUGUUAGGGAAGAACAAGUACCAGUUAACUGCUGGUACCUUGACGGUACCUAACCAGAAAGCCACGGCUACCUACGUGCCAGCCGCCGCGGUAAAAC